CUUUUUCUCUUCUUCUUCUCUCCUCUUUAGUUCAUCACUUCGAUUCUUAUUGGCUUUUGCUACCGUCUUUCACCCUUCCCACAUCACGGUGGGUCUGUUUGGUUCAUGGAAAUGACAGAGAUGAAAAUGGAAUUCUUGGAUUUCAAUUUCUUGUGCUUGGUGGAGAUGGAAAAAAUAAAGAUUGAAGAUUUCAAUGGCAAGUUCUACUCCUAGUGAUGCUACUACGCGAUCUACAUUUAUUGACAUGCUGUCAUUGUCACCGUCAUUGACUACACAACAAACUAUAAUCUCCACUAAUGAAAGUGAUGCUAUCAAUUUUAAGAAAAGGAAAGCACUUCCACCAAGGUCUAAAGUUUGGAAACACUUCACCAAAAUCGUCAAUGAUCAAAGUGAACAUAAAGCUAGAUGUAAUUAUUGUGAUAGGGUACUUUCUGCUAAUACUAUAUAUAAUGGCAUAACUUCAUUAAAGAUUCACAUGGAUUCUUGCAAAAAGUUUUCUAGUGCUACUAAUGAUUCUGCUCAAACUGAGUUAGCUUUUCAAUCAGGAGAUAGGUCAAUAAGAACUUGGAAAUUUAGUCAAGAAGCCAUUAGAAAGUCUCUAACUAAAAUGAUCAUUAGAGAUGAGUUGCCUUUAGAUUUGUAAAAGGAGAAGGAUUUAAGGAAUUUGUGUCAACUUCAUG